UUAGUUGGUUUGGGACCCAAAGAGUGAUUGGGUUGGGACGUGGGAUAUGGAUGGCAUGAGAUAGGGAUGAGGAUUUUCAAUGGGAUUAGGACUCUAGGUUGGUGGCGUGAUAAGAAUGGGUUGUUGGUAUAAGAAGGGGAGGAGUUGUUGACUUGAGAACAAGGAUAGGGCUAGGAGGGCGUGAGAAUGAAGGGAGGAGUCCUCUUGCUAGAACUCUUAAUUAAGGAAGGAUAUGGCGGGAGGAAUGGGUUGUGGCAUUAGGAUUGGGAGGAGUCCUUCCACAAGGACUUUCAAAUAAGGAUGGGUAUUGCGUGAGGAAAAGAAGGGAUAUUGCUGAAAACGUGGAGGAAUAGAAAAUAAAUAUGGAUUUGGAUAAGAGAGUCUCACCCUCACACAAAUCCAAGGGAUGGCGUAAAGGAGGAGUCUCACCUUCACCAACUCCUACCAAGGCUUGGCAUCUCACCAAGAAAAAGAAAAGGGAAGCAUGUCACUUUCUUCACGAGAGAGGCUCUCAAAUGAUUUUGCAAAACUCUAAUCUCUGCAUUUUAUUCUUCAACCUUUUCUUUAUAUAGAGUAAGAGGUUGGGAUAAGUUGGACUCUAACAAUCUGAAUUUGUGGACUCCUUUAACAAGGACUCAUUCUUCAACUAGGACUUCUACUUGAACUAGGACUCCUAGUUGACAUGGACUCUUUUAAUUUAAACAAUUGACUAAAUCAACUAACAAGAUAAGNNNNNNNNNNNNNNNNNNNNNNNNNNNUCAAUUUGGACUCUUCAUGGUGCAUGGAAUAAGAGUCCAAGUUGGCUAGGACUCUUCCUAAACGUCAUGAGGACUAAAUGACUAGACUCCACACACACACACAAGGACUCUUCAACACCUUGGACUCAAUAUGAUUUAGGCAUUGGACACUAACUCAAGGGGACUUAACACGCCCCAAACAAAAGGACUUAAUGUAACAUUGGACACGCCCAAUGUUAGACCCAAACUCCUUAACUCAAGACUCCUAAUCAACUUGGACCUUUUAUUUGACACAUGACUAAGUUGGCUAGAACUCUCACACGACACAUGGACCCAUUACAAAGACUCCAAAUAAAUUAGAACUCUUCAACACGACUAGGACUCAAUGUAACUAGACAUGCCCAAGGAUGAGGACCCAUCUCCAUGCACGCCUCCAUGCUUGGGCUCAUGCUCUUGCAUCAAUUUCUCCUGCUGAGAAGAACUCGACUCCGUCGAGUUGGGGCUGAUUUGAGGAAUCUUGGCUCGGAUGGGAUCCGCCAUCUAGUGUGCACACGGAUGCAGGCUGAUGCGCGCCGGAAGAGCCCUGGUGGAAUUGGUGCUCUAGGCUGGCGUGCCGGCAGGCCGCCAACUGGAUGGACAUGCACGGACGCAGGUCCGGUGCGCACGGGACGCGGUCCGGUGCGCACGGGACGCGGUCCGGUGCGCACGGGAUGCACGUCCAGGUGAACGCCGGGAGAUGGUGCUGCAUGCGGCUACCGUGGCUGCUGCGCUUGGUUGUGACCUUGCACGCGGGUGCUCGGUGUGGCACUGCGCGCGGAUCGGUUUGGCACUGCUUGUGCUCUUCGUGGCUUCCAUUAGCUAUCAGAUUAUCCUUCUUGAAAUCCGAUGUCAUCUCUUCUGAAUUUUCAGAACCAUCUUCCUUAGCAAUCGAUGCGAACAUGUCUCAACUUCAUGAUUGAUACCAAUUUUUGGGGCACAAGCGGACUCCGAAGGCACAUUGUUGCAGCGGACGAGAUCUGAAACCACUUUUGGUGGCGUAGAUGAAGGGGCAGCGAUGGAGAAGAAGGUCUUGGGGAAGACAAGGGUGGGGAAGAAGGGAUAACUAGGAGGUUGGAUAUACUAGAUCUCGAAACGAGAUCUAUGGCAUGCUGAAUGUCGCGCAUUAGUGGAAGUUCCUUGGGUAGAUCUUCAGGUGUUGCAUCAGAAAAGUCCUCCAAAAUCGACUUGAAAUCAGAUAGGAUUACCUUUGGAAUUUCAGAUCCAACUUCUUCGCCUUGCUUGCAACCCGAAAGGACCCUGCGAUCGACACAAACGGGUAGAUCUGAACAUUCUGGUUCCACCGCAGGUGCUUCUUCCUCGUUGCCUUCCUCUUCUUUGAUCUCAGUGGGUUUAGGAGGAACUUCAGAUGUCUUCGCGAUCUCGUCUUCUUUGCACGCUAAUGCAAAGCGCUGGUCUUUGGUGGGGCAAACAUCAGCAAAGUGCCCUCGACCACCGCACUUGUAACAAUCGGAUUUGCUUCCUCUUUGUGGCAUAGGACUCUUUCUUUUUCCUGGUCCUUGCUGCUCCUCGCUCCGGAUUUGUAUCCUAUUUGCAGAGAUUUCAGAUAUUGAGAAAAAGAGAAUACCUCGAGGAAAAGAAAUGCCCUUGUUGCUGCGUUUUGGAGAGCAUCGCCCAACUUGAGUAUAGGUAGGGCGACGUCGUCGUUGUGCCUCCACACAAAAAGCAUCCAUCUUUUGAUUCAAGGCAACCAUUUGAUGGAGAACUUCAGCUAUCAUCUCUAUCUCAUCUCGUUGUCGAUCGAUGUUGUAGGGGCGGCUGCUUCUCAUACUCAUGAUGAUGCAGAAUCUUCGCUCUGAUACCAAUUGACGUAGAGGGGGUAGGUAGGUUGCUGAAGAUUGGGGAUGACAGCUGAUUUCUCUCUUUUUUUCUCUUUCAAUGGCGGCUAGGGUUUCUUGUGGAUGGGGAAAGGAAGAUGAUCGAUGGCUAAUUGGUUCAAUUGGGUUCAAUGAAUGGUGAUCGAAAAUGGGGAUUGUGCUUGAUUGGAUUAGGGGCGGAUGGAAUUAGGUUGUGACCCCAAGUUUGAUUGGGUUUGGGCUUGGUUUGGGACCCAAAGAAUGAUUGGGUUGGGGCGUGGAAUAUGGAUGGCGUGAGAUAGGGAUGAGGACUUUCAAUGGGACUAGGUUGGUGGCGAGAUAAGAAUGGGUUGUUGGCGUGAGAAGGGGAGGAGUUAUUGACGUGAGAAUAAGGAUAGGGCUAGGAGGGCGUGAGAAUGAAGGGAGGAGUCCUCUUACUAGGACUUUUAAUUAAGGAAGGAUAUGGCAUGAGGAAUGGGUUAUGGCAUGAGGAUUGGGGGGAGUCCUUCCACAAGGACUCUCAAAUGAGGAUGGGCAUUGCGUGAAGAAAAGAAGGGAUAUUUACUGAAAACGUGGAUAAAGGAAAGAUAAAUAUGGAUUUGGAUAAGAGAGUCUCACCUUCACUAACUUCUACCAAGGCUUGGUGUCUCACCAAGAAAAAGAAAAGGGAAGCGUCUCACUUUUUUCACGAGAGAGGCUCUCAAAUUUUUUGCAGAACUCUAAUUUCUGCAUUUUAUUCUUCAACCUCUUCUUUAUAUAGAGUAAGAGGUUGGGAUAAGUUGGACUCUAACAAUCUGAAAUUGGUAGACUUCUUCUUUAACAAGGAUUCAUUCUUUAACUAGGACUUCUAUUUGAAUUAGGACUCCUACUUGACAUGGACUUUUUUAAUUUAAACAAUUGACUAAAUUAACUAACAAGACUCCCACUCGACUUGGACUCUUCAUGGCGCAUGGAAUGAGAGUCCAAGUCGGCUAGGACUCUUCCGAAACAUCAUGAGGACAAAUGACUAGACUCCACAUACACACAAGGACUCUUCAACGCCUUGGACUCAAUGUGAUUUAGGCGUUGGACACUAACUCAAGGGAACUUGACACGCCUCAAACAAAAGGACUCAAUGUAACAUUGGACAUGUCCAAUGUUAGACCCAAACUCCUUAACUCAAGACUCUUAAUUAACUUGGACUCUUUAAUUGAGACAUGACUAAGAAUCCAAAUCAGCUAGGACUCUUUCACACGGCACAUGGACCCAUUAUAAAGACUCCAAAUAAAUUAGGACUCUUCAACAUGACUAGGACUCAAUGUAAUUGGGCGUCGAAACACUAGGACCCAAUAUAACUAGAUAUGCCCAAGGAUGAGGAUCACAUCUCCACGCAUGCAUCCAUGCUUGGGCUCAUGCUCCUGCAUCAAUAUUUAUAUGUUUAAAAAUUUAGGAAAGAAUGAAAAUGAAAAUUCUAUUUUUUUAUUUCUGAAAAAAUGAAAAUGAUGCCAAAUGGCACCUAAAUGCCUUGUUGGAGAAAUAUAAAGUGCACCUUAUAACAAUAGAAAUGCAUUGCUAGUCUCAGAAAAAAAUAUCAAAUAAGCUUCGCCGAACCAGUAACAAGGUCAUACCGCUGGCUACUAGUUUGAUAUAGUUCCAAUAUGUACCAUAUUGACUCAAGGCACAAUGGAAUCCAAAGGGGGGGAGGGAGAGUGUGGAGAGGGAGGAGAGAGAACGGGGUGGGGAGAGAGGGACGGAUGGAGGGAUAGUGUGUAUCCAACAUUGUUGUCGUUUUGGUAGGUUCGUGGUCAUCAUCAUCGUUGGUGGCAUGGUUCGUUGUACCACCUCAAACCGUCCGAUUCCGGGCAUGAGUCAUACCAAAAGCGGACCGGUAUGGUUUCACCCCAUAGUUCGAGACACGAGCGAGGGAGGAGGAGAGGGAGAAGGAAAGAGAGGUAAAGAGAGAAAGAGGGAGGGAGAGGGAGAGGGAGAGGGAGGAAAGGAGGGAGAGAGAGGAAGAGGGAGGGAGAGGGAGAGGGAGAGGGAGAGGGAGGAAAGGAGGGAGGGAGAGGAAGGAGGGCUCGAAAGCCCUCUUCUUAUCGGUAGGGGGUUGCCCCUAUUUCAUUUUGAAACAGGGACAAGCCCUAAUUUUUUUUUGAAAAUCUUGAGCUAAAUUUGGCAAACAUCCNNNNNNNNNNNNNNNNNNNNNNNNNNNNNNNNNNNNNNNNNNNNNNNNNNNNNNNNNNNNNNNNNNNNNNNNNNNNNNNNNNNNNNACGCUUGUUAUGCCGCACUGGAGGAGAGGGGUUUCGAAAGCUCUCUCCCUCUCUGUCUCUUGACCUCUCUCCAUCCCUUCCUCUCCCUCAACCUCUCCCUCUCCCUCCCUCUCUCUCUUUUCCUCUCUUUCAUUAUGACAUAGAUGGAGGAUAGAGGGCUUGAAAGCUCUCUCCCUCCCUUCUUUUCCCUUUUCCUUCCUCCCUCUCUUUUUUCCUCUCUUUUCUUCUCCCUCUCCCCUUCCCUCUCAGGCUCCCCUUUGUCGUAUGCCACAAGUGGACGCGGCAUGGUAAUGUACCAUAUCAUACUAUUGGGCAACUGGCAUGGGCCCGGGUACCGGUUCUACCAACCUUGGUUGGCGAUAGUGGCAGCGACAGUGAUGAAAUCCUAAUUCUAGCAAGGGUUCAUGAUUCACGAGAGACGAGGAUGAUUGAUAGAGUGGGGAGAGGAGGAUCGAGAGAGGGAGAGAAGGAAGAGGGCAGAGGGGAGAGGAGGAUCGGGAGAACGGGAAAGAAGGCAUACACAAGCAAGAUCGGGAGAAAGGAAGAAGGAUCGAGAGGAGUCGUGACUCAAAUUUUAAAUAACCUAAUCUCCUAGUUUAGUCCAUUACAAUCUGAAAUAGCUUGAAACUAGGUAGAACCAAAUAGUUCAACCCAAUUCAAGUUCCUGGAUGGUUUGGUUCAAUACACACCAAAUCGCCUAGUUCGGGAUAGUUCGACCAUCCUUGAUAAGAAGUAUAGAGAUAAUAUCUCACUGGCUUGUAACACUCACUACUUUUAUGGGAAGAAACAACUCACUAGUGGUAUUAUGAUAUUACAGAUCUUAUUGAGUUUCCCUUUAUUGUUUUGCUUGUCAUCUCUCACUCACUACUAGAAUAACAAAGCUGAUGUGCAAUAGUCUCAUAUUAUUUUAACUUGUGUUGUCUAUUUACAAGAGUUGUUGGAGUUGAGAGUAGGUAAAAUUUGUUGCACUGGUAUUUGGGGUUGUACUAGCUAGCAACUAGCUUGGUGUGGUAUUGGUAUGUACUAUACCAUCCGACAUACCAAAGCUGGUAGAGGGAGAGAGAGAGAGGAGAGAGAGAAAAAGAGAGGAGGGAGAAAGUGAGAGAGAGGGGCCCAUAGAGAGGGGGGAGGGAGGAGUGGAAGAAAGAGAGAUAGAGGGAAAGGGAGAGAAAACCCUAACCCUAACACUAGGAUGAGACCGAGGGUGGGGAGGCAAGAUGAAAGGAAGAAAGAGAGAUGUGGAGAGGAGGGAGAGGGUGGGAGAAAGAGAGGCGUAUAGGACAUUGACGGUGAUCAAGUGCAUUGGAGUCAGAGUCGGCAUUGUUCGAGAUUGUUAGCAUUGGCAUUGGUGUCGAUCAAUCAUGGUGGCCUUGACAUCAGGUACUGGUGGAGCCUUUGACAUUGGGUACCUAUGGGGCUUUGAAGCUCCGAUCAUGGUGGAAGUUGGGGGGGGGGAGAGAAUAGGAGGGAGGGUGCUCGGGGGAUUUUAAAGAUCAAACCGUCCUGAUCGGCUGAAUUGUCUCUAUCCUUUAAGAGUAGGUGUUGUUAAAUCUGCCAUGUCAGAAUUUAUUUACCUAGGUUGCAGAAAGAACUAAUGUAUUUUUUUUGGAAAUCCUCCCCCACCCAUAGUUGCAGUUAGCUCCACCCUGCACCUGCCACCAUUUAUUUACAGCAUUUGCCUGUGACUACGAACUAAGUUUAUCAAACAAUUCAAGUCAUAUGGUAAUCCAGUUUGGUCUAUUAUCCUGCCAUUUUUUUUAAAAAAAACUUCAAGUCAUUGCUUGUAAAUGGUGAGCCAUUAAACUUUGUCUACCGUCUUUUGUCAAGAUCUAUUUUUUUUCCUCAUUAAUAAUGCUUUCGAUGAAUUGGACAUGAGAAAUUCCUUUUUCUUAACAGCCACGCUAGGCUUCUAUCAUAUGCUCAAUCCUUUUAUAUGAGUGUAUCAAUUGAUCUUUGCCUUUUUAUGAAGAACUAGGAAACAACAAUAUCAAGCUUCUCUCAUUCUUAGUCCUCAGUGGAACUCAUACCAAUUGAUCUUUGCCUUGUUAUAAGGUUUAAUGUAUAGUUGGGAUGGCAUGGCCCAUACCUAUAGUUGUAGGCAAGGGCUUGUGAGGACUCAUGCAAACAUGUGUUUAGUCUCACAUCAGUUAUGCAAUAGGUAGAUCUUGGGUAAUAAUACCUUCCAACUAGCUUCUCGGGGGAGGUCUUAGGUCAUUAUAAAUAGUAUCAAAGCAGACCUGGUAUGUAGCCUAUGUGGACUAGGGAACAUUGCAGCAUGGGCCUAUUUGGAGCUGACCAUGGUUCAAUUAUGGUAUUUGUGAUUGGAUUUGGAUCAUUUGUUUAGCAAGGAUACCAUUGCUUAAAUGGAUGGAAUGUGGGAUCCAUGUAACUCAUAUCGGCUAUACACUAGCCAGAUCUUGGCUACAUAAAUAGGGCCAAGGAAUCAAGAAAUAUUUUCUGGCUAGUCUUUUUGGGUGAGUUCCUAGAUUGUUACAAGGCUUGUAUAGGCUACAAUUCUGUUAAAGCAUGAUUGGCUGACCAACAAAGAUUUAACUCAAGUUCUCAUGAGAAGGAGUGGGAGGGAGAGGGAGUUUUCCUAAAUGAAACUAAUGAGCAUGCAUAACUCUAUAAUCAACUUAAUUUUGUGUCAAUGCAUUUUGUUUUCUAAGCUGUUUCUCAAGCAGAAAAUCCUGUUGUUUUUAUGAUGCACUGGUAUUGGAUCUCCGCAAAAAUUGCUUGGAAUAUAAUCAAAUUAAUCGGGCAAUUACUGGUAUUAUUGACCUAAUUCAGUACAUGCCUAAAACAACAUGAUGCUGUUAAAGAACCUCAUCAAAUGUUUGUGGAUUAACAGUUGACAUUGCAUUCUUAAUGUUAUUUACAAAUAAUCAAAAUAAAUUUGUAUCUGUUUGCUUUUCCAUGUAGGUUACUUCUUUAAUAUUACUUCAUGUCAUUUUUUUUGAAAUGCUCUUCUUAUGUGUAUUAAUUUAAAUGAAAUCAGGUAACAAUAAUCACUGGGUUCAACAUUCUACAGAACAAUGCUGUGGUAAGUUCCCUAUUCCUCUAAAUGUAACUAUGAUGCAUUUUUGUUCUUAUUCUCCUAUAACUUCUAAGAAAAUAAGCUUUAUUAAGAAUAAUUGUUAUACAUAACCAUUUUUUAUUUAACCUUAUACGUACAUGGUUGCAGUCUCAACAGCAAAGAGGUGCUGCAAAUGGUAUGUCUGUAACUGCAAUGUCUCUUUUUAAAGCAGCUGCACCUGCAGGUGGAGGAGCUCUGUAAGUAUUCACAGUGUCUUCCGUUCUAUAUUAAUGCUAAUACUUGAUAAUAUGAUUCUGACUACUAGUACAGCUUGUGCUUUUUGCUAGUCAUAGUGCAACUUCUGAAUAUGAAAAUCAAUGUUUUCCAGCAUAGCAUGCAGUUUCUUUUUCAAAAAUCCUGUCAAUUUACAUCCAGUAUUCUUCACCUUUUUAUGUCUAUAGAAUUUCCCUUUCUUCUUUCUAUAGUUUUUUAAUUUGAUAGUAACUGAUUCAGUGAGCUAAACAUAUUUACUGUACCACAAAAGGUAUGUAAAAGGAUAUUUAUUGGCAGUUGGCACUCUUGGAUACAGACAUACUUGACUGUUGGACUUGUUGCAAAGUCCUAGUUGAAAUUAUACAGGGCUAGCUCAAGCUUAUCAAGAGUUAAGAAUGGCUAAGCUUAAGCAUGGUUCAUCUCCAUUCAAGCUCACUUGAGCAUGGUUUGGUUGGGUUCAUUAAUGGUUAAGGCACUCAACAAUGAGAGAGGAGGUAUUAAUUGUUAAGGGAAGGGCGUAAGCACUCAACAAUGAGAGAGCAGGGCAUGAUGUAUAGAAAAUGGCAUGGGUGAAGAGACCUAGAUCAUAUAUUGACAAUUCAAAUCAUGAUACGCCAUAUUGUACAGGGUAUACCGUACUAUACCGGUUCGGUACCAAUACACAAUACGGGGGGCAUACCGACACUAUACCAUACUGUAUCGGUACAAUGAUAGGGUGGCACCAAUAUAGGGCUCGGUAUCGAGACGAUGUACCUUGGUUUAGAUUAAGUUCAUAAAAAAUCUUGAGAUUGAGGGUGGAUUUCAAUCAUUUUUGUUUUAUAUCUUGAACCUAUUGUCAUUGUCACUGACACCCUGAUACUCCGUUGUGGAAAAUGAAGAUAAAAUGAAUGACCAGUUUCAUUUACCCUUUUUACUGCAUGCUGUAGAGGAAGAACAUACAAGGAGAGGAGAGGAGAUUGGGAGUGCCACUCUUUUCCAACAUUGUUUUUCACCUUUGGAGAAGAGGAAAGGGAAGGAGAUGAAGUUGGGACUUGGGAACCUUAGAAGAUUGGGGGCUUCAGGGCAAUGGAGGGAUACAGGUAGUGGGUUGCGCCAUUGAGACACUUCUUUUGGAGUUUGGAGAGAAAGGAUUACCUUGGGAAGAUUUUAUAAGGCUAACUGAUCCAAGCUGUUAAAUCACAAUCUAAUUGCUAAGGUACAUGCUCUACCAAGGCAUAUAGGCCAUUUUGUUCCUCUUGCGAGAAUUAUUUACUGAACAAAUAAAUACUAAAAUUUGUUGACAAUUAGCAAAUUUAUGUUUCAAAACAUAUUGAGUGAACACAAAUGAGCUCUUCAUAGCUUGUGUUUGGGUUGCUUAUAUUUCUAGCUUAGUCCUUGGCUCCCAUUCAGGUUGCUUGCCACUCGAGCAAGCCAAAUAUGAGUGAGCUUCUCAUCAUGAUAGCUUGUUCUUUUGGCAGCCCUAGGUGUGGAGUUGCGAAGCUUGUGCUUACUUUCUUCUUCCUCCUCCCUUCUCCCUUCUUGCUUUCUACUUUUCUCUUUGCUUUUUUUCCUUUGGCCAAUGAAAGUAUGCUGGUGGUGAAAGCAGGCCAAUGGUGGGAAACUAGUAGUUCAAAAUGGAUGAAUCCAGUGCCCAUAAGAGAGGAAGAGAGAAAGGUAGAGAUUAGAGACUAAUCACCAAAAAAUCAAAAGGGAGGAGUAAAAGUAAGGAAAAAAGAUGUUGCAGCACUAGCGGUUCAGUGCUGCCUGUUUCUCUCUUCUCUUUGAUGGAGGACGUUGGCAGCAACCACUAAAGACCUAUAAAAGUGUCCUAAGGCUGGUUCUAAUGCCUAAUCCUUGAUUUGGAAUGUGUUAUAUGAUUCGGGACCCUGUUAGGACCUUGCUUAGGAUAAAUUAGUCAUUAUAGAAUCUUAAUUUUAUGUUUUCAGCAGUACUAUAAUGCUAGUUCAGUUUUAUAAACAUUUUCGUAAGUUUUUAGAGUGAGGUGUAGUUUUGUAAUAUUUCAGAUUUUCUGGACAUGGGCUUGUCAUAGGGCUCAUGGGUUGUAUUUUAGGUCUAUUUAUGUUUUGAGGCAAUUUUAUAGUCUUUAAUGGGGUCUUAUUAGUCUAAGUUGCAUAUUUAUUAUUUGGAGUCCAAGUCCUAGUAGGAGUAUUAGAACUAUAUAAAUAAGGGCGUAAUCUCUUAUUAUGAAGGUAAUCAAAAAUUUAUUUUUAAGCAAUUAUGCUUUCUUCUUGAGUUAUGUGAUGCAAUUCUAAUCCUUGGUGGCCUACGAGAUUCUAGGUGUGAUUCCUAGAAAAUCUAUCUAUUUUCUGCUUCUUUUCUUUAAUUACAGAACCCUAAAAGCUCAAAUUCGCAUCUGAUUGCAUGCCCGCUAGACCCUAGCAACCAAAAGCAACAAACCUGUAGCCACCCAUUCGCCAAUUAUCCUUCAAAUUCACAAAACAAACAAAAUUUUUAUUCCUGUUUUUAUUUUUCCAGCUCACGUGAAACCCUCAAAACUUGAUCUUUUUGACCCUAUUUUGCACCCAAAUCACUUCCCAUCUGUAUACCAACAUGAACCCUAGCUUCUUACACAUAUUCCCUACCUUUUUUAGGCCAAAACAACCUAUUAAGCAUCCAUGAAUUUUUCCUAAUCAACCUAUCCUUUUUUUUCCUCCAUACUCUCUUUAUCCUUCUCUUCAUCUCUUUACCUUUUCCAGCAUGGCUAGGGCAAGAAAGUUCUAAAUUUAUUCUCAUUCUAUAUGUAAAUGCUGAACUCUUUGAAUCCGACUCAACUACCAUAACCUUCACAAACCCAGUUAACCAAAAAGGCCUAUCCCCUUUUGGUCACAUGCUACUGCUUAGUCACAUUGAGUCUGUAGUAGGUUUAGGCCUGCAAAGCAUGCUAGGGACCAAGAGGGAGUAAGCACCACAACACGGCAUCAAGGGCCAUACUAUGGUGGUGGGAGCUCAAAAAUUGCCAUGAAGGCCAUGGCCUAGUUUUCUGUCUCUUUUAAUGAAUACCAAAGUCAAAGAAAGGAUUCACAUAAACACAUUGGACUAAGGGUGCUCAGAAGGUGCACACCCAGAAAUAAAACUAUAAUUGAGUAACAGCAAUUAUUGAGUCCUAAUGUAAUGGGUUCUAGCUCUCUAACACUGACUGCAUCUGGUUGUAUUCUCUCACCGGGGAUAUAUCUAAUAGCUGAAUUCUGUUACCAGGAAGUAUACAUUUUGGUGGGCAAGUGAAUGCAAUCUUGAGCAGGUGCAUGUGGGGAUAAGACAGGAUUCAACUGCUUUUGGUGAUUUGUGGUGAAUUGAGGAGGAUUUAGAUGUUGAUGACAAGUAAAAAAUGGAGAUCACAAGGGAGUGACCUUUGGUCUUAUGAAUUUUCUUAUUCUGGUUAGCUUUUCCCCUUGAAUGGGAACCAUUCAUGUUUCUUGUUUGCAUUUCAUAAAUGAAAACAGAGUGACUGUUCACUUUUUCUUUUAAAAGAAAAGGUAUAUGCAAUGUUACUUUACAAAUACAGCAUCAUGAGUUGAAGCAUUUCUAUUUUAUUUAAAUAGUCUGCAACUAAUAAUUCUUGACUUGAACCAUAAUUUUAAACAUAAAAAAAUUCAAAUAUAAUUAAUAAAUGAUGAGCUGAAAAUGGAUCUUUAAAUUGUCAGGACAUUUUUGUUUUCUUCAAGAUAAAUCCAGAUGAUGUAAUAAUUGUUUUAUGUUUUGUUUUUAUGUACUGAACAAAUCCAAUCCAUGUUAUGAAGUUGUAUGGUUGUUUAGCUAGAUGCAGUAAAUUGCUUUACUCAACAAUAUCAAACGCUUGCAUGACUAUGGUGAUAGAUAAUUGCUGACUCAUAUGAUUAUAAUUUGAAAGACUUCACUUGAAAAUCAGAAUGUUUCAACAAGUGACAAAAGAAACUUGUUCGUGGCAACAUUUGAUUGCUCUUACUAGGUUUUUUAAAAUGUGCAAAUUAUAGACAGCAUCAUAAGCUGCACCUCAGCUUGACAAGUUAGAAGUGACUUCAACUAUCAUUUGUUUAAUCAGUUUACAUUAGAUGAUAGAGAAAAACCGGUAGGCUUCAAAUAGUCUCCUGGAAGUCAUUAGAAACUCCAUUGAUCAGGACAUCUGGAUGAUCCCAUAUUUAAACGGCUUGUCAACCACAUAAUCUGAAGAUUUAUCUUUUAAUUUCAGUUAAUGUUCCUAAAUUUUCUUAGUUGUCCGUACUAAUGUUGUGCUUGAACACCAAUUAUCUUUUUCUUUUUUUUAAAAAAAAUCGUGUUGCGUGUAUCUGCAGAUUUUCCUGGGCACAAAGCCGUCAAAAAGCUUCCUUCUUACCAGGUAUUACUUACUCUUGCCUUGAAUGUGCACGACAAUGCAUAAACCUGCUCUAUUUCAAGAAAUUAUACAUAGAAGUUUAACUGUUAAAGCGGAUAUUGAUGGGUUCUAGAUUUGCACAGUGGAGUUCCUCUAGAUGCCUAUGGUGUCCUGUUGGUUCGUUGAUGGUUCUAAGUAUGUUGCAGAGCUUAUAUUAUGAUAUACUAAUAGUAAGGCUUUAUUAAUUAGCUUUGAUGUUGUCAUAUAAAGUCCCAAAGAAAUCAAGUACAGCAAACAUGCCAAACAUCACAAAUAAACCUCCUGGCAUCUAAGCAGCAAAUUAUUGCUUGUAAAGAGCCUUUUUAAUCAUGUCAACUACCUUCUAGUUCAUACUUAGUUUAUUUUGCAUAUAUUAAAUCAGAGAAAAUUAUCAAAUUAGCCUAAAUUCAGUCAAAUUCAAUUCAAAUAUUUGCACAUCUUAAUUGGAAAUGUUCCUAAUCCACUAAAACAAAUCAUAUGAAGUUUCCGAUGUGAUGACACCAAAAUAUAUUCCAAAAUAUAUUUCUAAGGUAGCUUAAGUGCAAGCACAAUGGAGAAUAAAUCUCAAGAAAAAACAAAAAAGAGAAAACAUUUCAUUUCUUAGUACUAUUAAGUAAUGAAGAAUUACUUUUUGUCAUCAUAAUUAAGAAAUGAAUAAAUAAUUCCAAGGAAAAGCUAACCAAUGAAUGGUGCAUUUAUUGCUAAAUUAUUACUGAUUUCACUUAAAGAUAGUGUUUUGGUGGAAGGUUCAGAAAGCAGGUGCAGAUGUAGAAGCAAGGUUAUUGUGGGUGCAACACCCUAUUUCUAUGAAAGUCCUACCACUCCAUCCUUAAUAUCUUCACUUUGCCAUCUUUUAAAAUUCAGUGGCAACAUGAAAAAUGUUAUUAAUUGAAAAAUAAAACAAAAGCCAACACAAGAAACUGCAGAAGAUUAGUUUUCUACAAUAAGAAGACAUCAUUGGUAAAGCUCACGUGAUCCUUGCAGCACUUGCAGGGUCAUGCUACAAUAGAAUAUGGGUGCCAAUUUCUUAUGCUUGCUCCGAACUUUAGCAAGGAUCACCAACUGUCGGCAAUUUUGGACAGUUGGAGAUGGUGCAAUGUGGCAUGACAUGGUUAGGGACACUUCAAUUGUCAGUGUUCUUAAUAUAAAGUUACCACAGCUAUUUGUGAACUAGAUCCGAUCUUUCAAAGCCCAUUCCCUCAUGUUUGGGGUGUCUUAUCUUUUGUUAGGCUGUUCUUACAAUGAUUAGGUAGCAUUUCGUCAAAAGGAUAUUGUUUAGGUAUUUCCAUUAUCUAUAUUCAUACAUACAGACAUACAUAAAUUCAUGUAUGUGCACAUAGACAAGCACACAUGCACACAUGCACACAUGCACACAUGCAAACAUGCACAUGCACACGAGCAGUUUCUAUGUAUGUGUGUGAGAGAACGGUAUACAGAAAGAAGCCAAAGGGGGUGGGGGCAUGCCACAGUGGGGUGGGCAGAAUUAGUCAACAUUCACAGAGAGAAAAAGAUGAAUUUUCGUCAAUGAGAGUGGAGCUCAUAUCUGCUAACAACAAAAGAAGAUCAUUAGUUGGUUUCGAAACAAUAUUGCAUUAGGGAUCAGGUGGGAGCUGCUUGAAUGGAGAGGCUUUAGUUCAAAAUGGAGGGAGUGGAUUCGUAUGUAUAAAGAGACAUAUUUAUGCACAAAGAUUAAAUACAAAAAGAAAGAGUGAGUGAGGUCAUAUAUAAUAUAUCAUGUUCCAGUGCUAACGUUGUUGGAGGUUUCCACGUCAGGCACUUAGGGACACCUUAAGAUGCAAGGCACCUGUGCCGAACACCCAGUUCACAAAUGUUAAGGAUCUAUGCAAGUAGAUACAUAGAAGUACCAAUUUAUCUAUGCGAUACAUAAUCAUCUCAAAUUUGAUUUGAGUCCCCUGUAUUUUUAUAUUAGGAUGUAUGCUAACAUCAAAAACUGAUCCUAUUUUACCAGAACUUUGGUACCAUAGCAAUUGCGUUAUUGAAGCUAAAUGUAAAUCAGAAAGUAAUUUUAACUUCUGACUUUGUGUUGUCCAAUUCCUGUCUACCUAAAAAUAUGCUAGACAGAUCGUUGUUAGAACCGACAAACAAAGUUUAAAUUAAUUUUACUCUUACCUGUUCUACUCGAAGAAUAGUGAUCGUAAGAGGUCGAUCCACAGGAAGGCGAUUGGAGUUGCAUAAAAAUUAAAACGUUCACUCGGAUUUGAAAUCGAUUUUUGAAUGAUAGAAGAAAAACAUUUCGUCGGGGAUGUUGACUGAUUUUCUGGUCUACCAGAAAAUCUUCAUUAUUUUUAAAAUAAAGAAAAGACAAGUACUUAGAAAUCGAAGAGCAUUUAUAAAUUUCAUGAAAUACUUAACUAUUCAAAAGAAAACUUUGGCAUGGAUGAAAAUAGUGAUUAAGAAGAUUAAAGCCUGGAACCUAGAUUGCAUGAGAGAGAAUUUCAUAUAUUGCAUGAAAAGAAAAAUUAUAGAAUGUGAAAAACAUAAAUUAAAAUUGCAAAUCUAAAGCUCUUAAAAUAAAACUCUCCAGUAAAAUUGUAACAGAAAGAGUUACAAAUAAAACUCUUAAUUAAAAUUAAAAACAACACUGCUUUUAAUUAAAAUAAAACAAAAAAAUAAAAAGAAAAAAAAGAACAACAAGGUGCCCUGUUUGAAAACAGAGCACAAACUCAAAACUCUCUCUUUUUUUUUCUUUGGAAUAGAGCUUCCCUUCCCCUGUUUCUUUGGCCCACAACCGAGCGCUCCCCUCCUCCCUCUCUGUUUCUUCCCCCCUUCUUAUAGCCCUUGGAGAGCGGUGAAUAUGGAAGGCGAUCUGGGCAUUUUCACCGCGUGUAGAAUGUGGUUGCUGGGCGGAUCGCUCAUCUGGAGGACUUUCUUCUUUGGACCACGGAUGCGGGAUCGCCGGACGCCUGAUGCGGAAGGCGCGGAUGGCUGUGAGGCGCGGUGAGGACGCGUUGGCAGCUACUGUGAGGCGCUGGGAUCACGGACGAACGCGGGAUUCCGGGAGGAGAAUCAAGAGCGGCGGGGACACGCUGAAAUGGAAGAUGCCACGGGAUGCUGUGGCGUUGAUCACAGAAGAUGAGGACGUGCGGACGGCUGUGAGUCGGGCGUUGCUGGGAUCACGGAAGAGGGGCUGGCCUCUAGGAUUUUGAUCGCGUAAGGAGAUCACGGAAGAGCUGCUGAGUGCUUCCUAUUUCCUUCUUCCGGUGAUUUGGGAGGCGGAUCCGGACGAUGGCUUGCCAACGGAGGGAGCCGGUAAUCCAGCUGCUGGGAUGCGGAUGGGCUGGCACUAUGACGUGGCUUGAGGCGUUGGGAUUGAAGGCUGAAGAUGAUGGUGAUCCGAUGGACGGCGCGGAUGCUGGGACAUCGCUACGUGUUGAAGAUGUGAUGCUGAUGAACCGUGGGAUGGCUAGCACAAUGUGGGAAAUCGCUCGGGGGCAAAUGUGCUUGACCAGGUCAUAGUAGGAUUGGGCCCGUGCGGUUUGGGCUGUUGCUGGCUGGCACACUGGGAUGAGCUGAGCUCAAACCCAAUGUUAUUGGGUCUCUUGGAUUACUUGCACUCAAAUACAAAUACAACGUUAAUUAGUUAAUUUUAUCAUUAAUGAUUAACUAUAAUACUAAUUAAGAUGGUAUGACGAUUGCACUUUUGUGCUCUCAUCACACCCCCCAACCAGCUUAUUGCUAGUCUCUAGCAAUUUAGUGCGAAAAUGAGAAAAUAAGAUUGCAAAAGUUUUAUUAUUAUUAUUAUUAUUAUUUAGUAUUAAUUAUUAUUAUAUAUAUGAACUAAAAUAAAUACUCACUUUCGUAGAGCACCACGAUUGCACUUAGCACGUGCGACAAGCCGUUAAACCCCUAGGUUACCCUAGUAGACGAGUGUUAUCUCGUGAGGGUUUGCAGUGAAGUUACCCACAAACUUCAAUCCCUUUUUUUUUUUGAAAUGAAAGUCUAAUUUCAAGUAUAUAACUGAUAAGAAUUUCAAAAGCACACAAGGUUUUAAUUACUAAGUAGCCCAAAUUCUAGGUUAGUAUGCAAUUUAAGUUAAAGUCAUUAAGUUUUCUGUUAGGAAGUUGUCAGACUUAUUUAUACUUGAGUGCUCAGUGAAGUCUGGACCAUGCACAAGCUAAGGUUUUGGAUCUCCAAAAUAUCGCUAAUGCUAGUAGUUUCCAAGAAUUGGUCGGACAAGACCUAAUUGCUGAUUCAAAAUCAUCUUAUCUGGAGAAUUUCGAGAGUUGUGGAUGUUUACUUUAAUACCUCAUGGGCUUUAUCUGUAAUAUUCCAGUUUAUUCGAAUUUUUGCAACGAUGGCUUUCACACUAUUGUCUUUCUUAAGGUCAAUAUACAGAAUUUAUUUAUUUAUUUUUUUUAAAAAACAUGAUAAUGUAUAUAUUGUGCACUUUUACUCCUGUGAUGAUUCCUCCAUGUAGCGAGCAAUUAGUCGACAAUUCUCACACCAGUUGGUUUGAGGUGUCGGGCAUCAAGAGUCUCCUACGGACCUAUACUCGGGUUCCUCAUCACAAGCCCGCUGACUUUUGAUAAUAGGUAGCCCUUUUCGAUGUACCUGACUAAAUCCACCAUUUUUUUUUUGGAUCAGAAAAAGAUGGUUCAUCAGGAUUCGAGGUUGCUCCCAUAUUUUCAACACAAUGUCGAACCUAUACCUUAGAAAAUGCAGGCCAGAUGUGUUGUGAAAUUCAAAGCACUAAUUAGCUUACACCUCACUAAAAGGAACUUAAUAAAAAGAACUCACUUUGCACUACUUUCGACUAGUCAUUGGGCUCUUAGAUUUUAUAUACCUUGUGUGUUGUAAUUUUUUUUUCUAAUUUCAAAAAUUUUAACUAAAAACUUUUUUUUAAAAAAAAUUCCAAAUGCUUAAAAAUACCUCCAAACCUAAAUCUAACAUUGUCCUCAAUGUUAAAGACAAUUUAAAGCAGUAAAAGGACCGAGAAGAAGUUACCUGAUAUGGGUGGGUAAAUUGAAAAUUGGGGCAAAAUCCCCCAAACCUGCAUGUUAGUAAUUUAUUGAUUUUUUUUAAUUAAUUAAUUAAUUUAUUUAUAAUAUUUACAUGUUGGGUUGCCUUCCAAGAGCGCUAAGUUUUAUGUCUUUAGCCAGACAAUUCUAAUUCAUUCAUAUAGACAGGGUCGGUCAGAAGUGUUUUUUCAACUUCUGGACUCAGAUACUCAAGGUAUGGUUUUAAACGAUGUCCAUUGACUUGAAAGGACCUACCAUCCUUGGUAUUGCAUAUUACUACUGCAUCAUGCGGAUGCACUUUCUCUACUAUGAUGGGCCAGUCCAGCGAGAUUUAAGUUUUUCAGGGAAUAGAUGUAAUCGAGAAUCAUAUAGAAGGACUUUUUGUCCUUGGUGAAAUUCCUUACGAAUGAUCAUUUUAUCAUGCAUGAUUUUCAUGCGAUCUUUGUACUUCUUGGUACACUCGUAAGCAUCGUUUCUAAUUUCUUCAAGCUCAUCGAGUUGAAGCUUCCUAUGUUCUCCCGUUUUGUCAAGAUUGAAAUUUAAAUUUUUAAUCGCCCAAUAGGCCUUGCGUUCUAACUCGACAGGUAAAUGGCAGGCCUUGCCAUAGACAGUUCUAUAUGGAGACAUUCCAAUUGGUGUUUUGUAAGCCGUCCGAUAUGCCCACAGUGCAUCUGUUAGCCUAAGAGACCAAUCCUUCCGAGAUGUAUGAACAGUUUUUUCAAAGAUGGUCUUGAUCUCCCGAUUGGAAAUUUCGACUUGUCCACUUGUUUGUGAAUGAUAUAGUGUACUGACCUUGUGAUUAAUGUUGUACUUUCUCAUAAGGGCUUUAAAGAUUUUAUUACAAAAAUGUUUUCCCCCAUCACUAAUGAUAGCACGAGGGGUGCCAAAACGAGCAAAGAUAGAUUCUUUAAGAAACUUGAUCACUACUUUGUGAUCAUUGGUCUUACACGCGAUUGCCUCAAUCCAUUUUGAUACAUAGUCAACUGCCACAAGAAUGUACUGAUGCCCAAACGACAUAGGAAAAGGACCCAUAAAAUCAAUACCCCAAACAUCGAAGAUUUCUAUAAUUAAGAUAGGGUUCAGGGGCAUCUCAUUCUUUCUCGAAAGUUUUUCUAAUCGUUGACAUCGAUCGUAAGAUUUACAAUAGUCAUGCGCAUCUCGAAAAAGUGUGGGCCAAUAAAAUCCGCACUGCAAAACUUUUGCAGCAGUUUUCUUCCCACUAAAAUGACCACCACAAGCAUAGUCAUGACAAAAGCAAAGGACAUUCCUUUGAUCGUGUUUAGGGAUGCAUCGUCUGAUGAUUUGAUCGGGACAGUAUUUGAACAAGUAUGGUUCAUCCCAAAAAUACUAUUUUACACGAGCUAGAAAGCAGAAUUUCUCUUGUUUGGUCCAUGAACUGGGUAUUCGUUCAGUAACUAGAUAGUUGACUACAUCAGCAUACCAUGGAACAUUGAUAUGGGAAAUCAUCAUUAAUUGUUCAUUAGGGAAGGUCUCGGACACAGGCAUGGAUUCUCCAGAUGAUUCAACAAUUAAUCUGGACAAGUGGUCAGCUACAAUAUUUUCAGAUCCCUUUUUAUCUCGUAUUUCAAGAUCAAAUUCUUGAAGCAAUAGGAUCCAACGAAUGAGUCUUGCCUUGGCNNNNNNNNNNNNNNNNNNNNNNNNNNNNNNNNNNNNNNNNNNNNNNNNNNNNNNNNNNNNNNNNNNNNNNNNNNNNNNNNNNNNNNNNNNNNNNNNNNNNNNNNNNNNNNNNNNNNNNNNNNNNNNNNNNNNNNNNNNNNNNNNUCAAAUGGCAGAUUCCAAUCUGGGGACCUUAUGAUGGGUGCUGAGGUUAGUUCAGACUUUAGUCUUUCGAAAGCAGUUAUACAAAUUGGCGAAAAAUUAAAAGUAGCAUCUUUCGCCAACAGAUCGCAUAAGGGUUUCAACAAUUUACUGAAAUCCUUGAUAAAGCGGCGGUAAAAACCCACAUGCCUUAAAAAGGAUUCGACUUUCCUAACAGUUUUGGGAGGUGGUAACUUGGCAAUUAAUUCUGCUUUGGCUUUAUCCAUCUCGAUUCCCCUUUGUGACACAAUGUGUCCCAAAAUAAUACCUGAUUGGACCAUAAAAUGAUAUUUUUUCUAGUUAAGAACUAAAUUUUUCUCUUUACAUCGUUCUACAACAAGGGUCAAGUGAUGGAGACAUUCAUUAAAAUUAGAUCCGAAUACAAAAAAGUCAUCCAUAAAAACUUCUAAAAAUUUUUCCACCAUGUCGGAGAAAAUGCUCAUCAUACACCGCUGGAAUGUAGCCGGUGCAUUGCAUAACCCAAAAGGCAUGCGACGAUAGGCAAAAGUGCCAUAAGGACAGGUGAAUGUGGUUUUCUCUUGAUCCUCACGUGCAAUUGGAACUUGGUUAUAUCCAGAAUAACCAUCAAGAAAACAGUAAUGAGAGUGGCCAGCUAGACGUUCUAACAUUUGGUCAAUGAAGGGUAGUGGGAAGUGGUCUUUUCUAGUCAUGACGUUCAGUUUUCUGUAGUCGAUGCAUACUCGCCAUCCAGUUUGGAUUCGAGUUGGGACUAAUUCAUUGUGGUCAUUCUUAAUCACAGUGAUUCCAGAUUUCUUUGGUACGACUUGAAUUGGGCUCACCCAUUGGCUGUCAGAAAUAGGAUAUAUAAUCCCUGCAUCUAAGAGUUUAAUGAUUUCAGCUCGAACCACAUCCUUCAUGACUGGGUUAAGUCGUCUUUGUGGUUCUUUAGAGGUUUUUGCAUCCUCUUAUAGAUGAAUUUUAGGUUGGACCACAGAAGGACUAAUUCCCUUAAUAUCAGCUAUAGACCAGCUGAUUGCUUCUUGAUUUUUCUGAAGGAUAUUUAACAACUUCUCUUCCUGUUCUUUAGUUAAAUUUGAUGCAAUAAUCACAGGUAAGAUGUUGUUGUCCCCGAGAAAUGCAUAUUUUAAGUUUUCAGGCAGAUCUUUAAGUUCAAGCUGGGGAGGUUUGACACUUGAAGGUACUAGCUGGGAUUCAGGUAUAGGUAAUGAUUCAAAUUUAGUAGCCCAUCUGCUAGUAUCCAUUACAGGAAUGGAAUCUAACAAUGCAUUAACCUCCUGAUUCGACUUUUCCUCCUCACAAUCUUGACUGAAUUGGGCCAAACAUCUUUCUAGUGGAUUAGAAUAACUUGAUUCCUCGAAGGAUUUGCUGCUUAUAUUCUCAAUCAUGUGAAUUUCUUCUAAAUCAUCCAUCUCAGAUGGUUGAUUAUUACUGUGAAAGACAUUGAGUUGGACGGUCAAGUUUCCAAAUGCUAAGGUCAUUAUUCCAUUUCGGCAACUGAUCACAGCAUUUGAAGUGGCCAAAAAUGGUCUGCCAAGGAUUACCGAGAUGUGACUACCUAGAUUUUUCACUGGUUCAGUUUCGAGAACUACAAAAUCCACAGGAUAGUAAAACUCAUUUACCUUUACAAUUACAUCCUCUACAAUUCCCUUAGGAUACUUCACAGUCCUAUAUGUUAACGAAAGAGUGAUGUUUGUGGGUUUUAAUUUUCCCAAACCCAACUCUGUGUAAACAGAAUAGGAUAACAGGUUCACGCUAGCUCCUAAAUCUAGGAGAGCUCUCCGAAUGAUGGUUUCUCCUAUUUUAAUUUUAAUAGUGGGGCAACCAGGGUCCUUGUAUUUUGGGGCAAUCUGUUGUUGAAUAAGAGAUGAGGCUUGUGCCGCCAUCACAGCUUGUCUAGGAAUACUGGUUUUUUUUUUCACCGAUCACAGCUUGCCUAGGAAUACUGGUUUUCUUUUUCACCGUGGUUAGGUCUUUUAAGAAUUUGGUAUAGGAGGGGAUCUGUCUAAUGGCAUCUAGGAAGGGUAAAUUUAUUUGGACAUUUUUAAAGACUUCCAUGAUUUUAUCGUACUGAGAUUUUUUUCUUUGAGUCUUGUAGUCUACUAGGAAAGGGAGCCUUGGGUGUGUAUGUCUCUAUUGGUUUCUCCUCUAUUCCUUGUGUUCCCUGUUCUUGUGCCUUUUUCUGAGUGGGGUUCGGUUCAUGCUUUUCUUCUUUUUCUUGUACAGGAAGUUGAACUUUGUUGUCCACUUUCUUGCCAGACCGUAAAGUGGUAAUUGCCUGUACUUCAUGGGUAAGGUUUCCAUUAGAAUCAAUCUGAAACUGGCCUCUUGGCUCUUGAUUCUGUUGCCUACUAGGGUUAGGCACUGGCUGACUAGGUAGUUCACCUUUCUUCCUAUCCUCUAGAGAGUUUGCUAUUUGGCUUAGACUAACUUCAAGUUUUGCAAUUGCUUGCGCAUGGAAUUGGUUAGUCUGGGUUUGAGCCAUGUUGGUCUGUUGUUGCUGUUGGAUAAAAUCUUGUUGUUGUUUCAUCAUGUUAGCCAUCAUGGUUUCUAAUGGUGAAGAUUAUUGUGGGAUAGGGGUAUUGUAAGGAGGUACAGAUGGAACUAAAGGUUGGUUCAUUUGUGAUGGAUCUAUUCGGGAGAAGUUUCUAUGAAAACCUGGUGGACCACCUUGAUGCUGAAUAGGUUCAUUUUGCUUGUAUGAGAAAUUUGGGUGGAACCUAUUAUCAGGAUGGUAGACUGGGCUGAAUGAAUUGGGAGUGGGCUUCUUGAAGGCACUAUAUAAGUUUAGAGCAUUUGCCUGCUCAGCCUUAAUGUUGAGUAAACUAAGACAACAUUCCACUAAAUGCUCAGAACUGUUACACAAGAUAUAUAAGUCAUGUGAUUCGUAUUCCACUUUCAUGAUGGGAUUUAACUCUUUAUAUGAAUCGAGCUAGUGAAAACAGUGAAAGCAUCAAACUUUUUACUUAAGUUGUUCAUUUCAGUCACCAGAUUGGACAUGACAUUAAAAUAACACUGCUCUUAAUUAAAGUAAAACAAAAAAAAUAAAAAGAAAAAGAAGAACAACAACGUGCUUUGUUUGAAAACAGAGCACAAACUCAAAACUCUCUCUUUUUUUUCUUUGGAACAGAGCUUCCCUUCCUCUGUUUCUUUGGCCCACAACCGAGCGCUCCCCUCCUCCCUCUCUGUUUCUCCCCCCCCCUUCUUAUAGCCCUUGGAGAGCGGUGAAUAUGGAAGGCGAUCUGGGCAUUUUCACCGCGUGUAGAACGCGGUUGCUGGGCAGAUCGCUCAUCUGGAGGACUUUCUUCUUUGGACCACGGAUGCGGGAUCGCCGGACGCCUGAUGCGGAAGGCGCGGAUGGCUGUGAGGCGCGGUGAGGACGCGCUAGCAGCAACUGCGAGGCGCUGGGAUCACGGACGGACGCGGGAUUCCGGGAGGAGAAUCAAGAGCGGUGGGGACGCGCUGAAAUGGAAGAUGCCACGGGAUGCUGUGGCGUUGAUCACGGAAGAUGAGGACGUGCGGACGACUGUGAGUCGGGCGUUGCUGGGAUCACGGAAGAGGGGCUGGCCGCUGGGAUUUUGAUCGCGUAAGGAGAUCACGGAAGAGCUGCUGGGUGCUUCCUAUUUCCUUCUUCCGGUGAUUUGGAAGGCGGAUCCGGACGAUGGCUUGCCAACAGAGGGAGCCGGUAAUCCAGCUGCUGGGAUGCGGAUGGGCUGGCACUAUGACGUGGCUUGAGGCGUUGGGGUUGAAGGCUGAAGAUGAUGGUGAUCCGAUGGACGGCGCGGAUGCUGGGACAUCGCUACGUGUUGAAGAUGUGAUGCUGAUGAUGAACCGUGGGAUGGUUAGCACAAUGUGGGAAAUCGCUCGGGGGCAAAUGUGCUUGACUAGGUCAUGGUAGGAUUGGGCCCGCGCGGUUUGGGCUGUUGCUGGCUGGCACACUGCGAUGAGCUGAGCUCAAACCUAAUGUUAUUGGGUCUCUCGGAUUACUUGCACUCAAACACAAAUACAACGUUAAUUAGUUAAUUUUAUCAUUAAUGAUUAACUAUAAUACUAAUUAAGAUGGUAUGACGAUUGCACUUUUGUGCUCUCAUCACUUUGUAUCAGAACGUGAUAAAAUUAUCUACUUCUAAUGGACUCAUUUCGGCUACAUCUGAGUUAUGUUCUGGAUUCAGAUCUUCACUUUAUCAGCUUGUUUAUCAUUUAACACAUGCAAAUACAUAAGUCUAAUAUUAAACAUGUU
rnacentral:lncRNA from 1 species